CUCUUCCCAUGUCUCUGGGCAGCGACAAAAGGCAGGUCCCUGAAAGGACAGGGGCUUUUCCCGCAUGGCUCCCUGCUGGUUCUUUGUGGCCAUGCUGGCCCCUAUGGUGCUGGCUCUGGAACAGUCCCCAGACAGAGUGAUACGAGAAGGCCAGUCCGUGAGUCUGAGCUGUUCCAAGAAGAAAUCCGACAGCACUGCUAUGUACUGGUACAAGCUUCCUUUGGGGAAGGACUCCAGGCUGAUCCUGGUGGUCUCUGCAUUAGUCGGUGGUAAAGCAGAUGUGGAGGAGGAUCUCCGCAGCCGUUUGAAGAGCAGUGGGAUACAAGGAGACGCGAUGACCAUCUCGAUCGAGCAUGCCUUUCUGAAUGACUCUGGCACGUAUUACUGUGCUGAGAGUGAAACACAGUGGGUAGGCUGCUGAGGGAGCUGAGCACAAACCUGCUCCUGCACAAAGGGGACCUGCUUUCCUCCUCGUCAGAGCUGCACAAGGUGGGAUGACCCUUUCCACUCAUUACCUCCUCUGCUUCCUAGCCUGCCCUUCAUCCUCUUCUCAGGCUCUGUGAGACUUCUCACACUCUUUGCCUCUCUCUCUCCAUUUAUCUCUUAUUUCCAUUCAUCCUCUUCUCAGACUCUGUGAGUUUAUUUGUCCUGCUUUCUCUCCAUGCCACCCCACUCCUCCUUGCCUCUCUCUCCGUUUAGCUCUCAUUUCCAUUAUAGCCACUUCCCUCAACACUUCUUCCCCUCUCUGCCUUCCUUUCU